rnacentral:rRNA from 1 species
CCCUACGGGGCGCACCAGGCGAGAAAACUUUGCAAUGUGCGAAAGCACGACAAGGUUAAUCCGAGUGGUUUCUGCUAAAGGAACCUUUUGUUAGUCGUAGAAUCACUGAUGAAUAAGGGGUGGGCAAGUUCUGGUGUCAGCCGCCGCGGUAAAACCAGCACCUCAAGUGGUCAGGAUGAUUAUUGGGCCUAAAGCAUCCGUAGCCGGCUCUGUUAGUUUUCGGUUAAAUCUGUACGCUCAACGUACAGGCUGCCGGGAAUACUGCAGAGCUAGGGAGUGGGAGAGGUAGACGGUACUCGGUAGGAAGGGGUAAAAUCCUUUGAUCUAUUGAUGACCACCUGUGGCGAAGGCGGUCUACCAGAACACGUCCGACGGUGAGGGAUGGAAGCUGGGGGAGCAAACCGGAUUAGAUACCCGGGUAGUCCCAGCUGUAAACUAUGCAAACUCAGUGAUGCAUUGGCUUGUGGCCAAUGCAGUGCUGCAGGGAAGCCGUUAAGUUUGCCGCCUGGGAAGUACGUACGCAAGUAUGAAACUUAAAGGAAUUGGCGGGGGAGCACCACAAGGGGUGAAGCCUGCGGUUCAAUUGGAGUCAACGCCAGAAAUCUUACCCGGAGAGACAGCAGAAUGAAAGGUCAAGCUGAAGACUUUACCAGACAGCUGAGAGGUAGUGCAUGGGCCACGGCG